rnacentral:rRNA from 1 species
GAUUAACGCUGGCGGCAUGCCUAAGACAUGCAAGUCGAACGAAGAGCCCCAAUGAGCACUGAAUGAAGUUUGCGAGCUUGCUCAAAAAUGGAAUGACGUAGGAUUUGGAUUCUGCUCUUAGUGGCGAACGGGUGAGUAACACAUGGGUUACCUGCCUCUAAGAUGGGGAUAACAGUUAGAAAUGAUUGCUAAUACCGAAUGUGCUAGUAAUAGUAAAGAUGCUUUCAAGCAUCACUUAUAGAUGGGCCUGUGGCGUAUUAGCUAGUUGGCGGGGUAAUGGCCCACCAAGGCGACUAUGCGUAGCCGGACCGAGAGGUUGAACGGCCACAUUGGGACUGAGACACGGCCCAUACUCCUACGGGAGGCAGCAGUGGGGAAUAUUGCACAAUGGGCGCAAGCCUGAUGCAGCGAUGCCGCGUGAGGGAAGAAGGUUUUCGGAUUGUAGACCUCUGUUGACAGGGACGAUAAUGACGGUACCUGUUCAGAAAGCUCCGGCUAACUACGUGCCAGCAGCCGCGGUAAUACGUAGGGAGCGAGCGUUGUCCGGAAUUACUGGGUGUAAAGGGAGUGCAGGCGGGACUGCAAGUCAGAUGUGAAAUUUAGGGGCUCAACCCCUCAAACUGCAUUUGAAACUGUGGUUCUUGAGUGAAGUAGAGGUAAGCGGAAUUCCUAGUGUAGCGGUGAAAUGCGUAGAUAUUAGGAGGAACAUCAGUGGCGAAGGCGGCUUACUGGGCUUUAACUGACGCUGAGGCUCGAAAGCGUGGGGAGCAAACA